AGUGAACGCUGGCGGUAGGCCUAACACAUGCAAGUCGAACGGCAGCACAGGAGAGCUUGCUCUCUGGGUGGCGAGUGGCGGACGGGUGAGGAAUACAUCGGAAUCUACUCUGUCGUGGGGGAUAACGUAGGGAAACUUACGCUAAUACCGCAUACGACCUACGGGUGAAAGCAGGGGAUCUUCGGACCUUGCGCGAUUGAAUGAGCCGAUGUCGGAUUAGCUAGUUGGCGGGGUAAAGGCCCACCAAGGCGACGAUCCGUAGCUGGUCUGAGAGGAUGAUCAGCCACACUGGAACUGAGACACGGUCCAGACUCCUACGGGAGGCAGCAAUGGGGAAUAUUGGACAAUGGGCGCAAGCCUGAGCCAGCCAUACCGCGUGGGUGAAGAAGGCCUUCGGGUUGUAAAGCCCUUUUGUUGGGAAAGAAAUCCAGCUGGCUAAUACCCGGUUGGGAUGACGGUACCCAAAGAAUAAGCACCGGCUAACUUCGUGCCAGCAGCCGCCGCAG
rnacentral:rRNA from 1 species